rnacentral:rRNA from 1 species
AACGAACGCUGGCGGCAUGCCUAACACAUGCAAGUCGAACGAGACCUUCGGGUCUAGUGGCGCCCGGGUGCGUAACGCGUGGGAAUCUGCCCUUGGGUUCGGAAUAACAGUUGGAAACGACUGCUAAUACCGGAUGAUGACGUAAGUCCAAAGAUUUAUCGCCCAAGGAUGAGCCCGCGUAGGAUUAGCUAGUUGGUGAGGUAAAGGCUCACCAAGGCGACGAUCCUUAGCUGGUCUGAGAGGAUGAUCAGCCACACUGGGACUGAGACACGGCCCAGACUCCUACGGGAGGCAGCAGUGGGGAAUAUUGGACAAUGGGCGAAAGCCUGAUCCAGCAAUGCCGCGUGAGUGAUGAAGGCCUUAGGGUUGUAAAGCUCUUUUACCCGUGAUGAUAAUGACAGUACCGGGAGAAUAAGCUCCGGCUAACUCCGUG